CAGCAAAGUUGUCAGUUUAAAAUGGCGAAUACUUUGGAUAAAGGUUGGCAAUAGUGAUAGUGCAUUUUUCCGUCCCUCUCAAUUGUUCUUGUUUGAAGAUGGCCUCGAACAAAUUGCUACAUU